rnacentral:antisense_RNA from 1 species
GUGAUACAAGAGACACAGUGGAGACCAUCCAAUGAGUGGCAUGGCUGCCAGGAUGCCAACUGGGACACUAAAGCCCUGGCAGUGGGGGCUGCCCAGCAGGGCUGGCCACUGGAAAUAAGAGAUGCAAGUUCAUCUUCUAUCAUAGCCAAAGAAGACCAACAAAGACCAACAGAGGCCAUGUCUCUGGCAUUCAGCUCCAACAGCAGGCAGUAGAUUUGUUACAGAGACUAAAACCCACCUUAUUGCCAAGUGACCCUCCUCUCACUAGCCUCCCCUGCUGCCACCCAAAUUCCUGCCACUGAACUACUCCUCAAAAUAAAACACAGCUGUAAAAUGC